rnacentral:tRNA from 1 species
AAGGGAGACCUAAUUCAGGUAGGAGACGAAAAAAAAGUAGUCGCUACCAAGAAUCAAUCCCAAAAGGUCGGAGCGAGGCGAAAUUGGCUUUCAAACUAGGUUCUGGGUUCACACAAGACCUGAAUCAGGAACAAGGGCUAUUAGCUCAGGUGGUUAGAGCGCACCCCUGAUAAGGGUGAGGUCCCUGGUUCGAGUCCAGGAUGGCCCACCUGCACAGGUGGCAAAAACAAGAGAAGCGAGGAAUCAGCACCUUAUCUUAUCUAUAUAUAUAUAGGAGAGAAUGCUGGCUCUGAGUAAAGGGUCCAGAGGAACCUUGAAAACUGCAUAGAGCUAGGUGAAAAAGCCAAAAAAGAAGACCGCAAGGUCAAGCUAAUAAGGGCUAACGGUGGAUACCUAGGCAC